AGAUUGAACGCUGGCGGCAUGCCUAACACAUGCAAGUCGAGCGGCACGCGGCGGGGGCGACCCUGGCGACGAGUGGCGGACGGGUGAGUAAUGCGUAGGAACUCUACCCACGGAGUGGGGGACUAGACCCGGAGAAAUUCCGGAUUAAUACCGCAUACUGGACCCUACGGGGUAAAGCGGGGAUCGUAAGACCUCGCGCGUGGUGGAUCGAGCCUACGUCCGAUUAGUUAGGUUAGGUGGGUAAAGGCCUACCAAGGCUACGAUCGGUAGCUGGUCUGAGAGGAU
rnacentral:rRNA from 1 species